GACGUAGGGCGCGAGCGUUGUCCGGAUUUAUUGGGCGUAAAGAGCUCGUAGGCGGCUUGUCGCGUCGUCCGUGAAAACCUGCGGCUCAACUGCAGGCUGGCGGUCGAUACGGGCAGGCUGGAGUUCGGUAGGGGAGACUGGAAUUCCUGGUGUAGCGGUGAAAUGCGCAGAUAUCAGGAGGAACACCGGUGGCGAAAGGCGGGUCUCUGGGCCGAUGACUGACGCUGGAGGAAGCGAAAGCGUGGGGAGCGAACAGG
rnacentral:rRNA from 1 species